rnacentral:rRNA from 1 species
CUUGGUCUUUAGAGGAGUAAAAGUCGUAACAAGGUUUCCGUAGGUGAACCUGCGGAAGGAUCAUUAUCGUACAAAAUGUGAGAGGGGCAUGCGAGGGCUGUCGCUGACUCAAAGUCGUGCACGCCCGAGUGUGUCGCCUCACAUAAUAAUCCAUCUCACCCUUUGUGCAUCACCGCGUGGGCACCCCUUUGGGAUCAUCUCGGAGGGGGCUCGCGUUUUCACACAAAACCCCCCUUUUAAAAGUGUAGAAUGACCUCAUUUAUGCGCUAACCCGCAAUCAAUACAACUUUCAACAACGGAUCUCUUGGCUCUCGCAUCGAUGAAGAACGCAGCGAAAUGCGAUACGUAAUGUGAAUUGCAGAAUUCAGUGAAUCAUCGAAUCUUUGAACGCACCUUGCGCCCCCUGGUAUUCCGAGGGGCACACCCGUUUGAGUGUCGUGAAAACCUCAACCUCCUUGGUUUCUUCUGGAGACCAAAGCAGGCUUGGACUUUGGAGGCCUUUGCUGGCACCUCUCGCCAGCUCCUCUUAAAUGAAUUAGCAGGGUCCUCUUUGCUGAUCCUCGACGUGUGAUAAGAUGUUUCCAUGUCUUGGUUUCUGGCUCUGUCACCUUUGGGACCCGCUUCUAACCGUCUUCAACCUUGCGUUGAGACAACGUUCGAGCAUGUCUCCCUUCUCGGGAAGCUCCCUCGACCCCACGAACCCUUGACCUCAAAUCGGGUGAGACUACCCGCUGAACUUAAGCAUAUCAAUAAGCGGAGGA